AAUCGCUAUUUUCCCGCCCUUCGGACUGGCUUCAAGUAGGAACAAAUGAGAAAAUAAAAUAAUGACUGAGAAAUUAAAGAAAAUAAAUAACACGAUAACUUAACGUGGAAAACUCCCCAAGUAGAGAAAAACCACGGCCGUUGCCAAACGACAACCAAGAAAAAUAUUCACUAUGUGGCAAAUUGUUACAACCACAAUUACAAAAUAUUUUUCUACCCGACACCCUCAAAACACCUCAAAUAUUUUAUACUCCAAGGGACUCCAAAAGACUUGCUUUAAAUCUCUAAUAUAAAACACAUUCAAAUGUUUUUGGUGUGUUUGGUGUGUUUAGAAACCUAAACAUUGGCUUCAUUUUAUAGCCAAUUCAAACACCCUCAAAAGCUCAUCUCCCCGAUGAGGGAUUGAGCUAAACUUUUUUUUUUAAAAUUUUUGUUUUCAACAAAUGAGGCUAACAAUCUCCACCUUGAAAAUAAAAAUAAAAAAAAACACAACAUUGUCUGCUACCGACAAUCAUAAUUCUUAUCGUCAAGAAUUAUCAUACUCCACCAUAAAAGAGUAUCGCCACUUGGAACCACUUUACCGACUCCAAGAAUUUUCCAUCGGCCACGUCGGAUCCCACUAAUAGUUUAUGGUGCAACCCUCCUGUUGACUUUUCUGAGAGUUCAUUAGCCAUCGACAUAAUUUUUUCCACCACACAUUUUGCAUCAACUGUCAACUAAUGCCAUGCGCAUUUCUGUGGACCAGCUACCAAUAAUCCGUCCUCUUUCAUGGCAUCUCAACGGGUAGCAAUCAUGCCAUGAUGACACACAUCUCUUAAUUACAAAGAGAACACAUCAUCUCCUUCGCCAUAGGAGAUCAUAUUGGCAGCAACAACGUUAGAGCUUCUAGCCGAAUCAGCUCCACCGUUCGGGCAAUCCUUCCUCACAUGUCCAGUUUGACCACAAACCCAGCAGACAACCUUCCUCUUUCCGGAGCUUUUCCUGGUACUGACAGAUAAAGCUGAAUCCUCAAAUGAUUUAUUUUUCAUUUCAUUCAGUCUUCUCUCCUCAGUAAGGAGCUUACUAACCACAUCCGCAUACACCACUUCCUUACUACCAUAUUUCAGAACAGGUUUCAUGUGCUCAUAUGUCGAAGAAAGUGAUAGGAUGAGUCGGAGAGCUUUAUCUUCAUCUUCGGUUUGCACUCUAAGAGUUUCCAAUUCAGAGACGAUGCCGUUAAGAACACUCAGGUGAUCUGAGAUCUUUGUACCUUUCGCCAUUUUCAACGUAUGAAAUUGCUCCUUCAAAUAUAACCUGUUGGAUAUAUUUUUUCCCUGGUACAAUUCUUCCAGUUUCUCCCACAACUCCUUUGUCGUGGACAAUCCAAGCACCUUAGUAAGAACAUUUUUUGCUAGACACAUGCGAAUUUGACUUGCCGCUUUGAUAUCCAGCUCCUCCCAUUCUUCAUCGCUAAUCUUGGAUUUUUCUGAGUCUCUCCUGCCACUGUCUUUUCCUGAAUUCUUUCCGCUGACUGGUUUCCCCAGCAAAAUCUUAUGCAGUCCAGACUGAAUCAACACGUCUUUGACUUGCACUUGCCCUAGUGCAAAAUUCAUUCUCCCGUCAAAUUUCUGAAUCUCACAUCUCAUAGCCGACAUGCUUACUUAUGCUUAUAACAGUGAACCCAGUAAUUAGUGAAGUAAAUUGAUUCGGCAAUAUCCAGAAAAGAUCACAAUGAUCUCCUAAACAAUAUUACCAUUUCACGUAAAAUCCCAGUUGGGCGGAGGGGUCACAAGUGGUCCCACUUAAAAUCCGGCCUUCUAGACAGAAGUUACGUACACGGUAUAUUAUCAGAACUUUCGUAUCAGAAUAACUUCAAUAAUUAUCGUCAGGACCUUCACCACCGGUACUCAAGCACACCAAAGCAAAGCUCCACCAGCUUCAAGACUUCCAAAACUCCACCUGCUUUUAAAAUAAAAUAAUUUCUAACAACAGUAUUUCUGAUGUGGAAGAUCAGACUAAGCCGCAACCACAGUGCAUACUUACAAUUUAAAUUACAAGAAAUUAUUCUAACACUAAAAGCUCCGCCUAACAAACCAGGCUCUAAUACCACUUGUUGGAAAAAUCGAUAUUUUCCCGCCCUUCGGACCGGCUUCAAGUAGAAACAAAUGAGAAAAUAAAAUAAUGACUGAGAAAUUAAAAAGAACACGAUAAUUUAACGUGGAAAACUCCCCAAGUAGAGAAAAACCACUACAACCACAAUUACAAAAUAUUUUUCUACCCGACACCCUCAAAACACCUCAAAUAUUUUAUACUCCAAGGGACUCCAAAAAACUUGC
rnacentral:lncRNA from 1 species